AGAUUGAACGCUGGCGGCAUGCCUAACACAUGCAAGUCGAACGGGAGUAGCAAUACUCUAGUGGCGGACGGGUGAGGAAUACGUAGGAAUUUGCCCUUAAGUGGGGGAUAACCCGGGGAAACCCGGAUUAAUACCGCAUGACCUCGAAAGAGCAAAGUGGGGGAUCGCAAGACCUCACGCUUUUGGAGAAGCCUACGUCGGAUUAGCUAGUUGGUGAGGUAAUGGCUCACCAAGGCGACGAUCCGUAACUGGUCUGAGAGGAUGAUCAGUCACACCGGAACUGAGACACGGUCCGGACUCCUACGGGAGGCAGCAGUGGGGGAAUAUUGGACAAUGGGCGCAAGCCUGAUCCAGCAAUGCCGCGUGUGUGAAGAAGGCCUUCGGUUGUAAAGCACUUUAAGUUGGGAAGAAAAAACUACGACGUCUAACACAGUGAGUCUUGACGGUACCGAACGAGAAUAAGACACCGGACUAACUACUGUGCCAGCAAGCCGC
rnacentral:rRNA from 1 species